rnacentral:tRNA from 1 species
GUUAGCGUGGCAGAGCCUGGUUAUGCAAAAGAUCUAAGCCCUUUCUCCCAGGGGUUCAAAUCCCCUCACUAACU